rnacentral:tRNA from 1 species
GUAGAGCGCGCCCCUGAUAAUUGCGUCGUUGUUGGUUCAAGUCCAGGAUGGCCCAGCUGCGCCAAGGAAAAG